rnacentral:ncRNA from 1 species
CAGAUAGAGGUUGCAAGGCUUAAUAGUAGUCCUGUUGAUGGGAAAGACACCAGAGGAUACAGGCUGAAAGGAAGCUUUGCCGAAAGAAAACAUUUGUCUUUAGUGUUUAUCUUGGGCAUACAGAGAAUAUCUGUAUGACUGUCACCUGAAAGCAGGUGGGGAGCUAUCA